CAGGAGAAUGGCAACACAUGAAGAGUAGGCUGUUCAAGAAGAAAGGCCCUGAAAAAAAGUGAAGAUGAAAGGAUCCAAUCCAGGAUACCAUAUUAUUUCAUGCUAUGUCUGAAGUCCUAAAACAGAGCACAAAGAAGGCUCACUAAGCCUUACCCCCAGCCAUUGUCUUUGGGCAGAGAUGAUGAUGCAUUCUUGGAUGGACUAGAUUUUCAGCAAAGGAGCUGCUUUUCACAUAUGAUAUGUAAGAAAUAAAUAUGAAGAUUUCAUAAAAAAAUAAAUUUUCUACUUGUGUG